ACAUCUUCAUCAUCACAUCUUCAUUAUCCACAUUGGAAGGUUGGAGCAUUAACAGCCUGUUUAAGGUCCAUUCCGAGGUCCAUUCAGAGGUCCAAUCAGAGGUCCAUUCAGAGGUCCAAUCAUAGGUCCAAUCAGAGGUCCAAUCAGAGGUCCAUUCAGAGGUCUAAUCAGAGGUCCAUUCAGAGGUCCAUUCAGAGAUCCAAUCAGAGGUCCAUUCAGAGGUCCAUUCAGAGGUCUAAUCAGAGGUCCAUUCAGAGGUUAAAUCAGAGGUCCAUUCAGAGGUCCAAUCAUAGGUCCAAUCAGAGGUCCAAUCAGAGGUCCAAUCUGAGGUCCAUUCAGAGGUCCAUUCAGAGGUCCAUU